rnacentral:rRNA from 1 species
GAAUCUUCCGCAAUGGACGAAAGUCUGACGGAGCAACGCCGCGUGAGUGAUGAAGGCUUUCGGGUCGUAAAACUCUGUUGUUAGGGAAGAACAAGUGCUAGUUGAAUAAGCUGGCACCUUGACGGUACCUAACCAGAAAGCCACGGCUAGCUACGUGCCAGCAGCCGCGGUAAUACGUAGGUGGCAAGCGUUAUCCGGAAUUAUUGGGCGUAAAGCGCGCGCAGGUGGUUUCUUAAGUCUGAUGUGAAAGCCCACGGCUCAACCGUGGAGGGUCAUUGGAAACUGGGAGACUUGAGUGCAGAAGAGGAAAGUGGAAUUCCAUGUGUAGCGGUGAAAUGCGUAGAGAUAUGGAGGAACACCAGUGGCGAAGGCGACUUUCUGGUCUGUAACUGACACUGAGGCGCGAAAGCGUGGGGAGCAAACAG